GAUGAAGAACGCAGUGAAAUGCGAUAAUUAAUGUGAAUUGCAGAAUUCAGUGAAUCAUCGAGUCUUUGAACGCACAUUGCGCCCCCUGGUAUUCCGGGGGGCAUGCCUGUCCGAGCGUCAUUGCUGCCCUCAAGCACGGCUUGUGUGUUGGGCUUCCGUCCCUGGCAACGGGGACGGGCCCUAAAGGCAGUGGCGGCACCAUGUCUGGUCCUCGAGCGUAUGGGGCUUUGUCACCCGCUCCCGUAGGUCCAGCUGGCAGCUAGCCUCGCAACCAAUCUUUUUAACCAGGUUGACCUCGGAUCAGGUAGGGAUACCCGCUGAACUUAAGCAUAUCAAUAAGCGGAGGA
rnacentral:misc_RNA from 1 species